GAUGAACGCUGGCGGCGUGCCUAAUACAUGCAAGUCGAGCGAACGGACGAGAAGCUUGCUUUUCUGAUGUUAGCGGCGGACGGGUGAGUAACACGUGGAUAACCUACCUAUAAGACUGGGAUAACUUCGGGAAACCGGAGCUAAUACCGGAUAAUAUUUUGAACCGCAUGGUUCAAAAGUGAAAGACGGUCUUGCUGUCACUUAUAGAUGGAUCCGCGCUGCAUUAGCUAGUUGGUAAGGUAACGGCUUACCAAGGCAACGAUGCAUAGCCGACCUGAGAGGGUGAUCGGCCACACUGGAACUGAGACACGGUCCAGACUCCUACGGGAGGCAGCAGUAGGGAAUCUUCCGCAAUGGGCGAAAGCCUGACGGAGCAACGCCGCGUGAGUGAUGAAGGUCUUCGGAUCGUAAAACUCUGUUAUUAGGGAAGAACAUAUGUGUAAGUAACUGUGCACAUCUUGACGGUACCUAAUCAGAAAGCCACGGCUAACUACGUGCCAGCAGCCGCGGUAAUACGUAGGUGGCAAGCGUUAUCCGGAAUUAUUGGGCGUAAAGCGCGCGUAGGCGGUUUUUUAAGUCUGAUGUGAAAGCCCACGGCUCAACCGUGGAGGGUCAUUGGAAACUGGAAAACUUGAGUGCAGAAGAGGAAAGUGGAAUUCCAUGUGUAGCGGUGAAAUGCGCAGAGAUAUGGAGGAACACCAGUGGCGAAGGCGACUUUCUGGUCUGUAACUGACGCUGAUGUGCGAAAGCGUGGGGAUCAAACAGGAUUAGAUACCCUGGUAGUCCACGCCGUAAACGAUGAGUGCUAAGUGUUAGGGGGUUUCCGCCCCUUAGUGCUGCAGCUAACGCAUUAAGCACUCCGCCUGGGGAGUACGACCGCAAGGUUGAAACUCAAAGGAAUUGACGGGGACCCGCACAAGCGGUGGAGCAUGUGGUUUAAUUCGAAGCAACGCGAAGAACCUUACCAAAUCUUGACAUCCUUUGACAACUCUAGAGAUAGAGCCUUCCCCUUCGGGGGACAAAGUGACAGGUGGUGCAUGGUUGUCGUCAGCUCGUGUCGUGAGAUGUUGGGUUAAGUCCCGCAACGAGCGCAACCCUUAAGCUUAGUUGCCAUCAUUAAGUUGGGCACUCUAAGUUGACUGCCGGUGACAAACCGGAGGAAGGUGGGGGUGACGUCAAAUCAUCAUGCCCCUUAUGAUUUGGGCUACACACGUGCUACAAUGGACAAUACAAAGGGCAGCGAAACCGCGAGGUCAAGCAAAUCCCAUAAAGUUGUUCUCAGUUCGGAUUGUAGUCUGCAACUCGACUACAUGAAGCUGGAAUCGCUAGUAAUCGUAGAUCAGCAUGCUACGGUGAAUACGUUCCCGGGUCU
rnacentral:rRNA from 1 species